AUUGAACGCUGGCGGAAUGCUUUACACAUGCAAGUCGAACGGCAGCACGGACUUCGGUCUGGUGGCGAGUGGCGAACGGGUGAGUAAUGUAUCGGAACGUGCCCAGUCGUGGGGGAUAACGUAGUGAAAAUUACGCUAAUACCGCAUACGAUCUAUGGAUGAAAGCGGGGGAUCGCAAGACCUUGCGCGAUUGGAGCGGCUGAUAUCAGAUUAGGUAGUUGGUGGGGUAAAGGCCCACCAAGCCAACGAUCGGUAGCUGGUCUGAGAGGACGACCAGCCACACGGGAACUGGGACACGGUCCAGACUCCUACGGGAGGCAGCAGUGGGGAAUUUUGGCAAUGGGCGAAAGCCUGAUCCAGCCAUUCCGCGUGCAGGAUGAAGGCCCUCGGGUUGUAAACUGCUUUUGUACAGAACGAAAAGGUUUCUACUAGUACUAGGAGCUCAUGACGGUACUGUAAGAAUAAGCACCGGCUAACUACGUGCCAGCAGCCGCGGUAA
rnacentral:rRNA from 1 species